rnacentral:rRNA from 1 species
GAUGAACGCUGGCGGCGUGCCUAAUACAUGCAAGUCGAGCGAACGGACGAGAAGCUUGCUUCUCUGAUGUUAGCGGCGGACGGGUGAGUAACACGUGGAUAACCUACCUAUAAGACUGGGUUAACUUCGGGAAACCGGAGCUAAUACCGGAUGAUAUUUUGAACCGCAUGGUUCAAAAGUGAAAGACGGUCUUGCUGUCACUUAUAGAUGGAUCCGCGCUGCAUUAGCUAGUUGGUAAGGUAACGGCUUACCAAGGAAACGAUGCAUAGCCGACCUGAGAGGGUGAUCGGCCACACUGGAACUGAGACACGGUCCAGACUCCUACGGGAGGCAGCAGUAGGGAAUCUUCCGCAAUGGGCGAAAGCCUGACGGAGCAACGCCGCGUGAGUGAUGAAGGUCUUCGGAUCGUAAAACUCUGUUAUUAGGGAAGAACAUAUGUGUAAGUAACUGUGCACAUCUUGACGGUACCUAAUCAGAAAGCCACGGCUAACUACGUG